rnacentral:rRNA from 1 species
AACGAACGCUGGCGGCAGGCCUAACACAUGCAAGUCGAGCGCGCCUUUCGGGCUGAGCGGCGUACGGGUGAGUAACUCGUGUGAACUUGCCCUUUUCUACGGAAUAGCCUCGUGAAACUGAGACUAAUACCGUAUUCGCCCCUUCGGCGAAAGCUUUAUUGGAAAACGAUCGGCCAGCAUUCGAUUAGGUAGUUGUUCGGGUAGUGGCAUACCUAGCCGACGUUCCAUCGCUGGGAUGAUAGGAUGAUCCGCCACACUGGCACUGCGACACGUCCCAUACUCCUACGGAAGGCAGAAGUCGAGAAUCUUAGACAAUGGGGGCAACCCUGAGCUAGCCAUGCCGCGUGAGUGAUGAAGGCCUUAGGGUUGUCAAGCGCUUUCAGAUAGGAAGAUAAUGACGGUACCGGCAGAAGAAGCCCCGGCUAACUCCGUG